UACGUAGGGGGCUAGCGUUGUCCGGAAUCAUUGGGCGUAAAGCGCGUGUAGGCGGUCCGGUAAGUCCGCUGUGAAAGUCGAGGGCUCAACCCUCGAAUGCCGGUGGAUACUGUCGGGCUUGAGUACGGGAGAGGCGAGUGGAAUUCCUGGUGUAGCGGUGGAAUGCGCAGAUAUCAGGAGGAACACCGGUGGCGAAGGCGGGAUCCUGGGCCAGUACUGACGCUGAGGCACGAAGGCCAGGGGAGCAAACGGG
rnacentral:rRNA from 1 species